rnacentral:rRNA from 1 species
CUCAGAUUGAACGCUGGCCGCAUGCCUUACACAUGCAAGUCUAACGCGAAAGUGGGGGCAACCCUGCGAGUAGAGUGGCGAACGGGUGAGUAAUACAUCGGAACGUACCCCGGAGUGGGGGACAACCUCGAGAAAUCGAGGCUAAUACCGCAUACGUCCUGAGGGAGAAAGCGGGGGAUCCGUAAGGACCUCGCGCUCAUGGAGCGGCCGAUGUCGGAUUAGCUAGUUGGCGGGGUAAAGGCCCACCAAGGCUACGAUCCAUAGCUGGUUUGAGAGAACGACCAGCCACACUGGGACUGAGACACGGCCCAGACUCCUACGGGAGGCAGCAGUGGGGAAUUUUGGACAAUGGGGGCAACCCUGAUCCAGCCAUGCCUCGUGAGUGAAGAAGGCCUUCGGGUUGUAAAGCUCUUUCGCCCGGAACGAAAUCGCGUACAUGAAUAAUGUGCGUGGACGAUGGUACCGGAAGAAGAAGCACUGGUCAAAUACGUGCCAGCAGCCGCGGUAAUAUGUAGGGUGCGAGCGUUAAUCGGAAUUACUGGGUGUAAAGCGUGCGCCGGCGGUUGUGCUAGUCAGAUGUGAAAUCCCCGGGCUUGACCUGGGAUCUGCGUUUGAAACUAAGGAGUUAGAGUACGGCAGAGGGGGGUGGAAUUCCACGUGUAGCAGUGAAACGGGUAGAUAUGUGGAGGAACACCGAUGGCGAAGGCAGCCCCCUGGGCCGAUACUGACGCUCAGGCACGAAAGCGUGGGGAGCAAACAGGAUUAGAUACCUUGGUAGUCCACGCCGUAAACUAUGUCAACUAGUUGUCGGGGAAGCAAUUCCUAGGUAACGAAGCUAACGCGUGAAGUUGACCGCCUGGGGAGU